UACAGAGGGUGCGAGCGUUAAUCGGAAUUACUGGGCGUAAAGCGUGCGUAGACGGUUUCGUAAGUCGGGUGUGAAAUCCCCGGGCUCAACCUGGGAAUUGCAUUCGAAACUGCGAGGCUAGGGUACGGAAGAGGGAAGCGGAAUUUCUGGUGUAGCGGUGAAAUGCGUAGAUAUCAGGAGGAACACCAAUGGCGAAGGCAGCUCGCUGGGACGGUACUGACGCUGAGACGCGAAAGCGUGGGGGAGCAAACAGG
rnacentral:rRNA from 1 species